GAGUUUGAUCUUGGCUCAGAUUGAACGCUGGCGGCAUGCCUUACACAUGCAAGUCGAACGGCAGCACGGGAGCUUGCUCCUGGUGGGCGAGUGGCGAACGGGUGAGUAAUGCAUCGGAACGUAUCCUGGAGUGGGGGAUAACGUAGCGAAAGUUACGCUAAUACCGCAUAUUCUGUGAGCAGGAAAGCGGGGGACCUUCGGGCCUCGCGCUCUUGGAGCGGCCGAUGUCGGAUUAGCUAGUUGGUGAGGUAAAGGCUCACCAAGGCGACGAUCCGUAGCAGGUCUGAGAGGAUGAUCUGCCACACUGGAACUGAGACACGGUCCAGACUCCUACGGGAGGCAGCAGUGGGGAAUUUUGGACAAUGGGGGCAACCCUGAUCCAGCCAUGCCGCGUGAGUGAAGAAGGCC
rnacentral:rRNA from 6 species